CGGCAACAGCUCAAAUUUGAAAUCUGGCGCAAGCCCGAGUUGUAAUUUGUAGAGGAUGCUUCUAGGCAGCGGCCGGUCUAAGUUCCUUGGAACAGGACGUCAUAGAGGGUGAGAAUCCCGUAUGUGACCGGCGCGCACCUUCUACGUAGCUCCUUCGACGAGUCGAGUUGUUUGGGAAUGCAGCUCUAAAUGGGAGGUAAAUUUCUUCUAAAGCUAAAUACCGGCCAGAGACCGAUAGCGCACAAGUAGAGUGAUCGAAAGAUGAAAAGUACUUUGGAAAGAGAGUUAAAAAGCACGUGAAAUUGUUGAAAGGGAAGCGCCUGCAACCAGACUUCGCGGCAGUGUUCGGCCGGUCUUCUGACCGGUUUAUUCUCUGUCGCGAGGCCAUCAUCGUCUGGGCCCGCCGGAUAAGACCUUGGGAAUGUAGCUCUCCUUCGGGGGAGUGUUAUAGCCCAUGGUGAUGCGGCGAGGCUCGGGCGAGGUCCGCGCUUCGGCAAGGAUGAUGGCGUAAUGGUUGUCGGCGGCCCGUCUUGAAACACGGACCAAGGAGUCUAACAUCUAUGCGAGUGUUCGGGUGUCAAACCCCUACGCGUAAUGAAAGUGAACGGAGGUGGGAACCGCAAGGUGCACCAUCGACCGAUCCUGAUGUCCUCGGAUGGAUUUGAGUAAGAGCAUAGCUGUUGGGACCCGAAAGAUGGUGAACUAUGCCUGAAUAGGGUGAAGCCAGAGGAAACUCUGG
rnacentral:rRNA from 1 species